GACAGAGGGGGCAAGCGUUGCUCGGAAUUACUGGGCGUAAAGGGCGCGUAGGCGGCGUGUUAAGUCACUUGUGAAAUCUCUGAGCUUAACUCAGAACGGUCAAGUGAUACUGAUGUGCUAGAGUGCAGAAGGGGCAACCGGAAUUCUUGGUGUAGCGGUGAAAUGCGUAGAUAUCAAGAGGAACACCUGAGGUGAAGACGGGUUGCUGGGCUGACACUGACGCUGAGGCGCGAAAGCUAGGGUAGCAAACGGG
rnacentral:rRNA from 1 species